rnacentral:rRNA from 1 species
AUUGAACGCUGGCGGAAUGCUUUACACAUGCAAGUCGAACGGCAGCACGGGGGCAACCCUGGCGGCGAGUGGCGAACGGGUGAGUAAUACAUCGGAACGUGCCCAGUCGUGGGGGAUAACGUAGCGAAAGUUACGCUAAUACCGCAUACGAUCUACGGAUGAAAGCGGGGUACCGUAAGGCCUCGCGCGAUUGGACCGGCCGAUGUCAGAUUAGGUAGUUGGUGAGGUAAAGGCUCAGCAUGCCGACGAUCUGUAGCUGGUCUUAGAGGACGAACAGCCACACUGGGACUGGGACACGGACCAGACUCCGACUGGAGGCAGCAGUGGGGAAUUUUGGUCAAUGGGCGCAGGCCUGAUCCAGCCAUUCCGCGAGCAGGACGAAGGCCUUCGGGUUGUAAACUGCUUUUGUACGGAACGAAAAGGCUCUGGUUAAUACCUGGGGCUCAUGACGGUACCGUAAGAAUAAGCACCGGCUAACUACGUGCCAGCAGCCGCAGUAA